ensembl:lncRNA
AACAACUUGCAAGCUUGGAGGAUAAGCGAAUAGAAUAGACUUUUGUGCGCCAUCAUUGCAUAUCUGGUUGAUUACGAUUCUCAAAUAUAUUUUAUGCUUUAAAAAAAAACUGACACACAUCACCAUUGAAUAGUUUGUGACACUCUGAGCGGGCUUUAUCCUCAAAUCAAAAGUUUUUAUUUUAUUUUUUAAAUAAGUCGUAGCCAAUCAGACGUCUAUAACAAUUUCGGCCAAUCACAAUUGGGCCACAGUCCGUUACACUGGCGCGAAAUGUAUGAGAAGAUGGCGAACGUCAAGGCAGCAGGAGCUAACGUUAGCGCUCACCAAGAAAAAAAAAACACUUUAGAAAGUUCUGAUGACGAAACAGACAUUGAGAUGAAGCGACAAUAUGAAAAAGCAAAAAGACAAAAAAAAGUUGCAAAAGAGAGGAUCCUCACUCAGUUGAAGGAUACACUGAGGAAACCACUCCACUCCACUCCAUGCAGAACCAAUCCAUUACAUAGUGAGGAGGAAGUUGAAUCCGAAACGGUGGACACAAACGUGGAUUUGUUCAAUUACCCAGGGAAUUCUCAAUCAACCAGACAAAAAAAGGUUGGAAAGGAGAGGGUCCUCACUCAGCUGAAGGAUACACUGAGGAAACCACUCCACUCUGAUCCACGCAGAACCAACCCGUUACAUAGUGAGGAGGAAGUUCAAGCCGAAACCGUGGACACAAAUGUGGAUUUGUUCGAUUACCCAGAGAAUUUUCAACCAACCGAUACCUUAGAUGCUGCUGAGGCAAGUGGAGAGAGCGUGGAACAGCCAUUAUUUGUCAGUGGUGAAGUGUUGAAAGCUUUGAAAGGUACAGUAUAAAAUACCUGAAAUGAGUUGUGCUAAGGGAUGCUAUGUGGAUAAUUAUGUCUUAAAUAUACUAUAUAUACAAUAAUACAUUUGUGAUUGUAAUUUUCUAUUGACUUGAUUUGUAUUUAAAGCAGUAAAAAGUGGUUGUACUGUAUUUCAUUUCUUUAGAUAGAUUCUGAGCAUUAAGCAUUUACAGUCUUUGUAAUCAUUCUAAGCAGCCAUCUUUCUUCAUAACUUUUUUAAUAGAAAUCUUUUCGACACCUCUAGAAAUCUCAACUGUGGCGUUUGGCAUCUUGUUCCUACCCCACUUACGAUGUGUUUUUACACGUAUUACCUGUGCUGUGCAUCAGGAGUGGAGCGGUACAUAUAUUCGUAUUGAACCAAUUUGGUACAAGGGUCACGGUUUUGGUGCACGCAUUUACACAGAAAAUACACUGCAAAGCGGAACUAUUGUUAGAUACGCAUGUUCUUUGGGGACACAUAAUAUGUGACGCGCGUCCUAUUCGCUUUGGACUAAUGUCAAACUAGACGCAAAUUUUAAGCAUUUCUUUGUUUGCGUUGAUUACAAUGCUGGAGUGUGUGUGUGCUCGCACGCGCGGUAGAGAGAGAAAGAUAUAGUGUGUUCACUGUAGCACAAGAGAGAUCGAGACAGAGAAGCAAUUUGUCCUCGAGUGUCACAAAUACAGUUCAAAAUUCCCACCUUAGUGCAGUGUGUCAAGGAACUAAUAUCCUCAAUGAACACAGGGAUCGAUACAGCAAGCACAAGCUCAGGGUCCUCCAGCUCAGCCCAAGAGAUGAUUUCUCUGGGCAACAUGGCUGUCCAAGUCAACAAAACCUGCUUUAGGAGAUUGAAUAGGAGCAGAAUGUCCCUGUUCACUCAAGAGUUAGCUGUUUUGUUGUUUGGGAGGGAGGUUCUGGGUUCAUCUAGCCUCACUGGGAAUAGGUCCCAAAAAAAGAAAGGCUGAACCCAGAAAAAAUGAAUGCACUUAUCGACACUGUCAUAUCUGAGUUUCCGGGCACGUCACAGUCCGAGGUUAGAGCAGUAAUACGGCGAAAGUGCAAUAACGAAAGUUUUGUUUCAAAAAAAAAAAACACUGUAAAGGUAAUUUUUUGUUGUUGUUGGGAAAGGAAUGUGAAAGUAAAGAAGAAAUUUGUGUUUUGUUCAUAUAAGAUACGUACAGUAAUCUGUAGUUUAAUCAUUUUAUUAAAGGGUUAGUUCACCCAAAAAUCGAAAAGUUCUUUGUAUUUAGUCACCCGCGUGUUGUUCUAAACCCUUAAGAUUCCAUUAACCAUCGCAUCACAAAAUAUUAUAUUUAUGAUGGAAUCUGAGCGCUGGAUAAGUCUUCCAUUGACUUCCAAGGGGCUUAAACUUGCUCGAUCAGAAAUCGUAUUAAGACAUUGUUUGAAAUUGUCUAAGUGACUCCAGUGGCUCAACCAUCCAUUUAUCAAGCGACGAGAAUAGUUUUUUUUGUGCCAAAAACAAACAAAAAUAACGAAUUUAUUCCAAUAUCCAUUUACUCGUGUUGUGCUUGAAAGUUGUUUACGUAGUGUAUCUGCGCGAGCUUCUGGGUUCUACGUCACCAGGCAUCACACACAUGACCUGCGUUGGCCAAUAGUGAGCCUGUAUGGUGACGUAGAACCCAGAAGCGCUGCGCAGAUAGACUACGUAAACAACUUUGAAGCACAACACUAG